rnacentral:rRNA from 1 species
GCGUCAGUACGGCGAGUGAGCGGCACAGCUCAAAUUUGAAAUCUGGCCCCAGGCCCGAGUUGUAAUUUGCAAAGGAUGCUUUUGGUGCGGUGCCUUCCGAGUUCCCUGGAACGGGACGCCAUAGAGGGUGAGAGCCCCGUACGGUUGGACACCAAGCCUUUGUAAAGCUCCUUCGACGAGUCGAGUAGUUUGGGAAUGCUGCUCAAAAUGGGAGGUAUAUUUCUUCUAAAGCUAAAUAUUGGCCAGAGACCGAUAGCGCACAAGUAGAGUGAUCGAAAGAUGAAAAGCACUUUGAAAAGAGGGUUAAACAGCACGUGAAAUUGUUAAAAGGGAAGCGCUUGUGACCAGACUUGCGUCCGGUGAAUCACCCAGCUCUCGCGGCUGGGGCACUUUGCCGGCUCAGGCCAGCAUCAGCUCGCUGUCGGGGACAAAAGCUUCGGGAACGUAGCUCUCUUCGGGGAGUGUUAUAGCCCGUUGCACAAUACCCUUCGGUGGGCUGAGGUACGCGCUCCGCAAGGAUGCUGGCGUAAUGGUCAUCAGCGACCCGUCUUGAACC